rnacentral:rRNA from 1 species
UACGGAGGGUGCAAGCGUUGUCCGGAUUUAUUGGGUUUAAAGGGUGCGUAGGCGGCCCGGUAAGUCAGUGGUGAAAGCCUCCAGCUGCAACUGGAGAACUGCCAUUGAUGACUGCCGGGCUUGAGUACAGACGAGGGUUGGCGGAAUUGAUUGUGUAGCGGUGAAAUGCAUAGAUACAAUCAAGAACUCCGAUUGCGUAGGCAGCUAACUAGGCUGUAACUGACGCUGAGGCACGAAAGCGUGGGGAGCGAACAGG